GGGGUUGUAGCUCAGUGGUAGAGCACUUGCCUCCCACACAUGAGGCCCUGAGUUUGAUGCUCAGCACCACUU
rnacentral:tRNA from 1 species